rnacentral:rRNA from 1 species
UACAGAGGUCUCAAGCGUUGUUCGGAUUCAUUGGGCGUAAAGGGUGCGUAGGUGGCGCUGUAAGUCAGGUGUGAAAUUUCGGAGCUUAACUCCGAAACUGCAUUUGAUACUGCGGUGCUUGAGGACUGGAGAGGAGACUGGAAUUUACGGUGUAGCAGUGAAAUGCGUAGAUAUCUGGAGGAACACCGGUGGCGAAGGCGGCAUUCUGGACCGAUAUUGACGCUGAGGAGCGAAAGCCAGGGGAGCAAACGGG